rfam:Canis lupus familiaris chromosome 27, whole genome shotgun sequence.
UUGCUUUGGCAGCACAUAUACUAAAAUUGGAAUGAUACUGAGAAGAUUAUCAUGGCCCCUGUGCAAGGAUGACAUGCAAAUUCAUGAGGCAUCCCAUAUUUUU